UACGGGAGGCAGCAGUGGGGAAUAUUGCACAAUGGGCGCAAGCCUGAUGCAGCGACGCCGCGUGAGGGAUGACGGCCUUCGGGUUGUAAACCUCUUUCAGUAGGGAAGAAGCGAAAGUGACGGUACCUGCAGAAGAAGCACCGGCUAACUACGUGCCAGCAGCCGCGGCAAUACGUAGGGUGCGAGCGUUAUCCGGAAUUAUUGGGCGUAAAGAGCUCGUAGGCGGUUUGUCGCGUCUGUCGUGAAAGUCCGGGGCUUAACCCCCGGAUCUGCGGUGGGUACGGGCAGACUAGAGUGCAGUAGGGGAGACUGGAAUUCCUGGUGUAGCGGUGGAAUGCGCAGAUAUCAGGAGGAACACCGAUGGCGAAGGCAGGUCUCUGGGCUGUAACUGACGCUGAGGAGCGAAAGCAUGGGGAGCGAACAGGGAUUAGAUACCCGU
rnacentral:rRNA from 1 species